AUCCAGACUCCUACGGGAGGCAGCAGUGGGGAAUAUUGCACAAUGGGGGAAACCCUGAUGCAGCGACGCCGCGUGAGCGAUGAAGUAUUUCGGUAUGUAAAGCUCUCUCAGCAGGGAAGAAAAUGACGGUACCUGACUAAGAAGCCCCGGCUAACUACGUGCCAGCAGCCGCGGUAAUACGUAGGGGGCAAGCGUUAUCCGGAUUUACUGGGUGUAAAGGGAGCGUAGACGGCUGUGCAAGCCAGAUGUGAAAGCCCGGGGCUCAACCCCGGGACUGCAUUUGGAACUGUGUGGCUGGAGUGUCGGAGAGGCAGGCGGAAUUCCUAGUGUAGCGGUGAAAUGCGUAGAUAUUAGGAGGAACACCAGUGGCGAAGGCGGCCUGCUGGACGAUGACUGACGUUGAGGCUCGAAAGCGUGGGGAGCAAACAGGAUUAGAUACCCCUGUAA
rnacentral:rRNA from 1 species